GCCCACAGGGAUACUUCAGUUGGUGCAGCAUAAGACGUUUGAUCUCAGGGUUGUGGGUUCAAGCCCCACGUUGGACA